rnacentral:misc_RNA from 1 species
GAUGAAGAACGUAGCGAAAUGCGAUACGUAAUGUGAAUUGCAAAUUCAGUGAAUCAUCGAGUCUUUGAACGCACAUUGCGCCCCCUGGUAUUCCGGGGGGCAUGCCUGUCCGAGCGUCAUUGCUGCCCUCAAGCACGGCUUGUGUGUUGGGCCCCGUCCUCCGAUUCCGGGGGACGGGCCCGAAAGGCAGCGGCGGCACCGCGUCCGGUCCUCGAGCGUAUGGGGCUUUGUCACCCGCUCUGUAGGCCCGGCCGGCGCUUGCCGAUCAACCCAAAUUUUUAUCCAGGAUGACCUCGGAUCAGGUAGGGAUACCCGCUGAACUUAAGCAUAUCAAUAAGCGGAGGA